rnacentral:rRNA from 1 species
GAUGAACGCUAGCUACAGGCUUAACACAUGCAAGUCGCGGGGCAGCAUGGGGGUUGCUUGCAAUCCCCGAUGGCGACCGGCGCACGGGUGAGUAACGCGUAUCCAACCUGCCCUUCACCACGGGAUAACCCGGCGAAAGUCGGACUAAUACCGUAUGUUUUCCAUUGACGGCAUCCGAUUUGGACGAAAGGCUUGGCGGUGAGGGAUGGGGAUGCGUCCGAUUAGCCAGACGGCGGGGUAACGGCCCACCGUGGCUACGAUCGGUAGGGGUUCUGAGAGGAAGGUCCCCCACACUGGAACUGAGACACGGUCCAGACUCCUACGGGAGGCAGCAGUGAGGAAUAUUGAUCAAUGGGCGUAAGCCUGAACCAGCCAAGUAGCGUGCAGGAUGACGGCCCUAUGGGUUGUAAACUGCUUUUAUGCGGGGAUAAAGUGGCCCACGUGUGGGCUUUUGCAGGUACCGCAUGAAUAAGGACCGGCUAAUUCCGUG